UACAGAGGGGGCAAGCGUUAUUCGGAAUUAUUGGGCGUAAAGGGCGCGUAGGCGGCCUGGCAAGUGGAAGGUGAAAUCCCUCGGCUUAACCGAGGAACUGCCCUCCAAACUGCUUGGCUUGAGUCCGGGAGAGGUGAGUGGAAUUCCCAGUGUAGCGGUGAAAUGCGCAGAUAUCAGGAAGAACACCCGUGGCGAAGGCGGCUCUCUGGGACGGUACUGACGCUGAGACGCGAAAGCGUGGGGAGCGAACAGG
rnacentral:rRNA from 1 species